AGAGUUUGAUCCUGGCUCAGAACGAACGCUGGCGGCAGGCUUAACACAUGCAAGUUGAACGGGAACAUACGAUAGCUUGCUAUAGUAUGUGAGAGUGGCGCACGGGUGAGUAAUACAUGGGAACAUACCUUAAAGUGGGGGAUAACUUCUGGAAACGGAUGCUAAUACCGCAUAUACCCUGAGGGGGAAAGAUUUAUCGCUUUAAGAUUGGCCCAUGGCAGAUUAGGUAGUUGGUGGGGUAAAGGCCUACCAAGCCGACGAUCUGUAGCUGGUCUGAGAGGACGAUCAGCCACAUUGGGACUGAGACACGGCCCAGACUCCUACGGGAGGCAGCAGUGAGGAAUAUUGGGCAAUGGGGGCAACCCUGACCCAGCCAUGCCGCGUGAGUGAAGAAGGUUUUCGAAUUGUAAAGCUCUUUCGGAUGUGACGAUGAUGACGGUAGCAUCUAAAGAAGCCCCGGCAAACUUCGUGCCAGCAGCCGCGGUAAUACGAAGGGGGCGAGCGUUGUUCGGAAUUACUGGGCGUAAAGGGUGUGUAGGUGGACGUGUAAGAUAGCGGUGAAAUGCCGGAGCUCAACUUCGGAAUUGCCAUUAUAACUAUGCGUCUAGAAUUAUAGAGAGGAUAGCGGAAUACCCAGUGUAGAGGUGAAAUUCGUAGAUAUUGGGUAGAACACCAGUGGCGAAGGCGGCUAUCUGGCUAUAUAUUGACACUGAGGCACGAAAGCAUGGGGAUCAAACAGGAUUAGAUACCCUGGUAGUCCAUGCCGUAAACGAUGAAUGCUGGUUGUCGGACGAAUGUUCGGUGACGAAGUUAACGCGAUAAGCAUUCCGCCUGGGGAGUACGGCCGCAAGGUUAAAACUCAAAGGAAUUGACGGGGACCCGCACAAGCGGUGGAGCAUGUGGUUUAAUUCGAAGCAACGCGAAGAACCUUACCAAGUCUUGACAUCCCACUGACCGGACAGUAAUGUGUCCUUUCCUUCGGGACAGUGGUGACAGGUGGUGCAUGGUUGUCGUCAGCUCGUGUCGUGAGAUGUUGGGUUAAGUC
rnacentral:rRNA from 1 species